AAUUUUUUGUGUACCCAUGUAAUCUACUAAUAGAGAUCAUUUUACAUCUUCCUUUCUGACUUGAAUGCCUUUUAUUUCUUUGUCUUGCUUAUUUGCUCUAGCUAGGACUUCAAGAACUAUGUUAAAUAGAAGUGACAAGAUUGGGCAUUCUUGCCUUGUUCCUGAUUUGAGAGGAAAAUUUUUCAGUUUUUAACUGUUGAGCAAGAUGUUAGCUAUGGGCUUGUCAUAUAUGGCUCUGAGAUAGCAAGAUAAAAACUAGUCCUCUCAGAUAGGCUGCCAAAAGCCAGAAAUUUGGUUGCUGGUUUUAUUUCUUUUCCUCUCCAGGAGGAAGCAAGGAGUUAGAGGUUUUCUUCUACUCUUUAUUUACUGAGCCAGAGGAAGCGACCAUGGCCAGUGAAGGGUCCAAAUUUUUGCCUUUGUUCUCAGCAGCUCUCAACUUGGCACCCCUUCCUGUCAGUGUUCUUCUAGUCAGGACAUAAACCAGUCCCUUGGGCAGCUCCUGAAAAAGUCUCAACAUUGGACAUAUGUUUCAGUCUUCUCUUUCCAUUCCAAGGGAGAAACUGAGAUCUGGGAGUUUUCUCUCAAUUGCAUUGCACUGAGGAAGAGGGCCUAUGAAUAUCAAUAAGUUCCAAUUGAAGAGCGGAUUCUUUUGCAAUUCAGGCAUGUGCCGGCGAUAACGGGCGAGUUGGCAUGAAGAGAGGCAGAGAUGGAUUAAUUAUGCAGAGAACAUGGAAAUUCUGCUUAUCAUCGGCUAGCAAAGGAGCCCGGCUCACAUAAUCAGCAAACGAAGGGAGAGGAAAAAAUAACAAUGCAAUGGCACCUUCCAGCCCAUCAUCAGGAUUUUUUCUACCCCCUUGUAAUUAAAAAAUAACAUACACUUAUAGCCCUAUCUCCUGUGCAGGCAAGGAGUGGAUGUCCACAAAAUAAUUGCACUGGGAUAUUAGAGCUGGCGACACGGGCUGUCCAUUCCGGCUUGCUCUCCUGCUCACCCUCUCUUUCUCUUUUGGCCUCUCAGGCACUUUGCUUCUGAACCCAGUCCAAAUCAGAGAGACGUCUCAGGUGACAUUCAAGCUCGGUUUCCAAAAAUCCCAAAUUGGUACCUUAUCAUGAUCCAAGCAAACAUACAUACAUAUAUGAUAAAUAUUUGGAGGGCUGACUCUAGAGGAGGCUUUGGAACUGAUCACCUGUGGACUAUCUGGUCAGUUUCAUUUUUUAUGAAACAUGUCCAAAUAGCCUUCAUUUUGCAAAGUGGCUGGAUUAAAAUGGUGGCUGUGCAACGGCUGUGCUAUCUUCUCAAAUCAUUUAACUUACCUACAAGUUUUUGUUUCUAUUCCCUUUGCCAACUCAUUUUAUAAAUGUUAAGUUAAUGAUUGCAAUGUCUGCACCUCAAAAUCAGAAUUCGCAAUUCUGUAUUGUCAUUGUAAAAUCUGACAGCUCAAUGCCUUGUAUUUCUCUAAAUGCCAAAAGACUACAAUAAACCUAGUUUAUUGCUUUAAAGAAAA
rnacentral:lncRNA from 1 species